GGAGAGGAGAGGAGAGGAGAUGUGUUGGGUGCAUAAUGACAUCUUAACAUCUCGAACAGAGUGAGGAGAGAGGAAGUGAUGGAGGGCAGGAUGAAGUGUAAGACCUUUCAUGUGCAUGGAGUAUGGAGGAG